ensembl:antisense Vax2os ventral anterior homeobox 2, opposite strand
GGACAGCCCCGUGGUACAGAAGACCGCCCCACACCCUCUCAUAAACUUUAUUACUCCCUACCCAUUGGUCCCUCUCGCCCUCUUCCCUCUGUUCCCUAUAUCUCCAGGGAAAUGCACCUAGCUUUCAGUCUGGCUCCGCUUGAUGGAUAACUCAGAGCUCGAGGAGGCGACCCUGACUCGACCCGGCAGAAAAGAGGAGACGGAAAACUCCCUCCCUAGAAUCUGGAAUGAACUCCUUGUGUCUGCGGUUCUUCCAGCCUCUCUGGCUUUGGCAGGACACUAGAUUCUGGCUUACCCUUCCCCGGCUCUCUCGUCCCUGGCCAGCCACUGUGACCACUGCUUUGCCAGACCACCAGUGUGUCAGAUUCGUUUCCGUUCCGGAAGAUUGGUAUUUGUAUGGUUAUUGUUUUGAAAAAAAGAAAACGAAUUAAAUUAAGGGGAACCAAGGAGAGGGAUAUUUGUAGCUGAGGCCAUUGCUUCCGUGUGGAGCCCUGGUUGUGCCCUUCAGAGCCUCGGGCCGAGAGGGAGUGUGGGGGCUGUGGGGCCCCCGGGAAUUAGCGCGUGGAGUGAACGUCGGGGCAAGAGUUGGGGUGGAUUAGCGGGUUCAAAAGCAGGUCAGGGGGAGCUAAGCGUGGCGACCAAGUCCGUGCUAGGUCAAGGUCCCUGGCAAAGGCUGGCUCGAGCGAUCUGCAGGAAGCCGUACCAGUCUGCAGCUGCCCAGCCAGGGACCAGAGAAAUGCAACAGGAACCCAUGCUUGUCUGCAAUAAUUUACAGGACCCCGUUCGAGCUCCCUGGUUGAGGUGUGCUCACCUGAAAGACAGGGUUUCUCUUUUACAUUUUAACCUUUUCUUUCUUUUCUUCUUUAUGUUUGAGACAGGACCUCACUCCGUAGCCCAGGUUGGCCUCCAGCUCAGGGCCAUCCUCCUGUGGAACCCCUGAGAUCACAGGCGUGUCUCACCAAGUCCCACCUCUUUGUUUUUAUACUCCCUCCUUUCUGACCAGAUAAAUACAUCGACCCACGCAGGUAGAAUUUUCUUCUCAAGAGUCUCUUUCUCCUCCUGACAUCGGGGGCCAUGUGAGUCAAAUGGGGGGUGGGGAUUUCUGAAACACAAUAAAAGAAUCGCAUCCUUCUCUCCCCGCGCGAGUACCUGCGAUAGGGAGGGAGAGCUGGGAGUAGCUGAGCCGCUCUUUCCUUUGCGAAAGGGAGAGAGGUGACUCUGAACCCCGAACGUUUGUAGGACCCUGGAUAGUCUUCCCUUUUCUCCAAAAGACUCGUGAGUUUUCACAGGGAACAAACUUGGAGACGCGGUGGAUUUCGAAAUCCCGGUCUUGUUGGUGGCCUAAGAACAAUUUACAAAGCAGCCGGGGUGGGGAUGAAUCCUCGAGGUCUACCGAGGGUGGUGGCCCCUCCCGAGUCGCUUGGGACCUGGCAUCGGGCUUCUUUUCCUCCCGCGCUGUGCAGGCCCAGGGAGUGGGGUACGCGGAUGGACUUGGUUUUGUUGAAAUCCGGUGAAUCUGGACUCGGGUCGGGCUGGCUUCACGGAGUAAGCCCGUCCGAUCCCUGCAGGGGAGAAGUUUCCUACUUCCAGCUCUGGGGAAAGUACGGAAGGUGGCAAGGAGCUGUGGAAAGCGGAGGUGGCUUGGGAGAGGCCUGGGCUGUGGAGUCCCCGGGCGGCUCCUGCGACUUCUCUGUACUGCUUCCGCGCUGCAUGCUGGCGUGCAGGGUGUAGAGCGGCAGACCCGGAUGGACCGGCUGGUGCGGUGCUCGGGUCCGAGUGGAGUAGGUAGAAGGUUGGCUUCGAGACACAAUGCAAAUAAGCUGCUCGGUUCCCAGUCCCACGGAGCCUGACAUCUUUCCACUGGAAAAACGCCCGGAGCUGAAGGGCACUGUCUCUCCUUCUUUAGGCGGGCGUUCUCGCUUCGCGGCUUGCAACCGGCCUCACAGUUCAGGCUGCAGCGGCAGAAAUAAUGGGACUGACUGCAAGAAACUAUCCCAACGCUUUCCCGCUCUUCUGGAGCUGCCUCCACCCCAUCCCCGCCGCCGCAUCCUUCUUUUUGAAUAAAUUUACCGAGAAAGUACAGUUUUGUAUGUAGCCUUUUCUGUUUUCUUUUUCUUUCCUCCCUCNNUCCUUCCUUCCUUCCUUCCUUCCUUCCUUCCUUCCUUUCUUUCUUUGACAGGGUUUCUCUGUAUAGCCCUGGCUGUCCUGGAACUCACUCUGUAGACCAGGCUGGCCUCGAACUCAGAAGUUCGCCUGCCUCUGCCUACCAAGUGCUGGGAUUAAAGGCGUGUGCCACCACUGCUCUCUUGCUCUCUUUCUUUCUUUUAAUACAAACUAGUGUACUAGUUUUUUUAAGGAUUCGUUCUCUCUCUCUCUCUCUCUCUCUCUCUCUCUCUCUCUCUCUCUCUGUGUGUGUGUGUGUAUGUGUGUGUGUGUGUGUGGUGGGCGACAUAAGAGGGCGUCGGAUCCCCUAUAGCUGAAACCAGAGUAGAUCUCUUAACCUCUGAGCCAUCCUCUAGUGCCCUUAACUAGAAUUUUUAAAUGUACAUCUGUUUAUUAUGUGUGUACAUUUAUGCGCAUCCGCAAGCCAGGAGUCAGAGGACAGCUUUUGGGAAUGGGCUCUGUUCAACCCAGUAGGUUCUGGGAAUGGAUCAAAUCAUUAGCUUGAUGCUAGGCGUCUUUACCCGCGGAGUCAUUUCUCUGUCCCUUCUUUAUUUUUUCAAUUGACCUUGCAGUUGAAAUAGCUCACAACUAAAGCCAUCCUGUCUGCAGCCUUCUCCACCCAGAGCAGAGCCUUUGGAUAUUUAUUUUACAGGCUCAACAGCACAGAGAUAUCUCCACUGUGGAGAAACUAUCACCGACCUACUUUCUAAAGGGGAUGGUGAGGCAUUUACUUCGGAAUUUGUUCGGCAAGAGUCGGGAUCUCAGAUACCAACACUGCGUCGUCAUUCUAAGACUUCUUCUGAACUGAACCUGUGCCGGGGCGUCCCUGAACAGAGCACAGGUGGAGAGCCUUCUAGGGAGAAGGAAGAGAGGUCGACCAAAGCUUGUGGUGAGCUCCCUCCCCCAUCUCCGAGGAACGCUGUUGCUCAGAUAAAGCUCAGAGAGGUGUUUGAAAAGGAGAAACCCCAGAGCCAGAGCCAGCCGACCUAGGGAUCUCUUGGCUUUGGGAUUGCAAAGGGACACUUUCUAGUAGUGGGUUCAUUUCAGAGAGUGGGUGGAAAAGCCACGGAAGGCCACGCCCUGGCUAUCCUGGUUAAGGGACUAGGAAAUAGAUCUCAUCCUGUGUUUGUAGGACUUGAGAAGGUUAGAGUAUCAUUAGAUUAAGUAAUUGCUGUGGUUUGGGUCUUGUGUGUGUGUGUAUAUAUNNNNNNNNNNAGAGAGAGAGAGAGAGGGAGAGAGAGAGAGAGCCAGUCUGGAGUUCCAGACCAGUUCAGGCUGGUCUGGAACCCUUGAUCCUCUAGCCUCUACCAUCCAAUGCUGGGGUGACAGGUGUGCACCCCUCUACAGGGCACAGUGUAAAACAAUGUACUAAGUUUGAAUUUUGUCAUAAUAAGAAUAUCUAUGUGUUUUAAGACUAACUUUAAAAAAUAACUAAAAUUAAAUUUAAAUUUUUAAGAUUGGCUUAAAAAAAUCAGGACUCAGCAGAACCUCCUAGUAUUACUAAAGAGAAGUGUGUAGGAGUCUCUCUCAUAAACACAUCUCAGGAGAUGGAGAUGUAUGACUCCAGUAACAAUAAUCUAUUCCGUUUUUUUUACAACAAGGCUUCCUACUGCCCCAGAGAGCUGGGGGCAUCUUAGCUCUCCCAGGCUAGGUGGAACCAUCUGUCCUUUGGCUUUUGGCAGCAGGAGAAUCAGAAGGUCAAGGGCACCAUUGGCCAUAGUUUGAAUUCGAGGCCACUCUGGGUUAUA